AUGGACGUCCUGCUGAUGGAAGGAUGAAGAGACAGAGACCAGACUCCUCCUGGACCCAGCUGUGUGUCCAUGAAGAGUGACUGGUCUAAAGGUUUAUAUAUUGAAUUUAAAGAUGGACGUCCUGCUGAUGGAAGAGUUCAACAGGAGAGCUCAGAGGUUCACAGAGAUCAAUC